rnacentral:lncRNA from 1 species
UUCCUUCUCAUCAUCAGUGAUGCUAAAAAAGAUAUCAACCAACUGAAGUAUUGGAGUUUCAUAGUUUCAUGCAUGCAAAUUUUUUUUUAUAAAAUGAAUAUGCAGCAGAAUUUAAAUUUUUCAGAUUAAAUCUAAUUUAAUCAAAAAUUAAAUCUAAUUUAAUCUAAGCAUACAUAAGAUCAAAUCUUAAAAUCAUAAACAAGAUCAUUAUAUGUGAGAUAGGAUUCAGAUACUGAAAUCAAAUAAAAAUAAAUAAAUAGAGAAUAUAUCUUAGCAUAGAUCAAUCUUUACCGUGAACUGAUGAUCAUGGAUAUCUUCCGAAGGUUUCUUGUAGCC